rnacentral:rRNA from 1 species
GAUGAACGCUGGCGGCGUGCCUAAUACAUGCAAGUCGAGCGAACAGAUAAGGAGCUUGCUCCUUUGACGUUAGCGGCGGACGGGUGAGUAACACGUGGGUAACCUACCUAUAAGACUGGGAUAACUUCGGGAAACCGGAGCUAAUACCGGAUAACAUUUGGAACCGCAUGGUUCUAAAGUGAAAGAUGGUUUUGCUAUCACUUAUAGAUGGACCCGCGCCGUAUUAGCUAGUUGGUAAGGUAACGGCUUACCAAGGCGACGAUACGUAGCCGACCUGAGAGGGUGAUCGGCCACACUGGAACUGAGACACGGUCCAGACUCCUACGGGAGGCAGCAGUAGGGAAUCUUCAGCAAUGGGCGAAAGCCUGACGGAGCAACGCCGCGUGAGUGAUGAAGGGUUUCGGCUCGUAAAACUCUGUUAUUAGGGAAGAACAAACGUGUAAGUAACUGUGCACGUCUUGACGGUACCUAAUCAGAAAGCCACGGCUAACUACGUG